GAGUUUGAUCUUGGCUCAGAUUGAACGCUGGCGGCAUGCCUUACACAUGCAAGUCGAACGGCAGCACGGGAGCUUGCUCCUGGUGGCGAGUGGCGAACGGGUGAGUAAUGCAUCGGAACGUAUCCUGGAGUGGGGGAUAACGUAGCGAAAGUUACGCUAAUACCGCAUAUUCUGUGAGCAGGAAAGCGGGGGACCCUCGGGCCUCGCGCUCUUGGAGCGGCCGAUGUCGGAUUAGCUAGUUGGUGAGGUAAAGGCUCACCAAGGCGACGAUCCGUAGCAGGUCUGAGAGGAUGAUCUGCCACACUGGAACUGAGACACGGUCCAGACUCCUACGGGAGGCAGCAGUGGGGAAUUUUGGACAAUGGGGGCAACCCUGAUCCAGCCAUGCUGCGUGAGUGAAGAAGGCCUCGGUU
rnacentral:rRNA from 1 species